GGUGAACCACCAUGCCUGGCACCCCCUCAGCUUUAUUAAGGUCUGUUCGAGGCUAAAUUGUUUUCCUCAAAAUUGCAUAUGUUGAAGCUCUAACCCUCCCCAACCGUAGAAUGUGACUGUAUUGGAGAUGGGACCUUCGAAAAGUUGAUUAAGGCAGAAUAAGGCGUUAGACUGGGCCCUAAUCUAAUCUGACUGGUAUCCUUAUAAGAAGAGGACAUUGAGAUUCACGGAGACACCAAGAUUUGCACGUAGAGGAAAGACCCUGUGGGAACGCACCAAGAAGGCAGCCAUCUGCAACCCAAGGAGGGAGGCCCCAGGAAAAGGCCCCUGCCGCCAUCUUGAUCCAGGACUUCCGCCAUCUUGACCCAGGACUGCUACUCUCCCAAGCAGUGAGAAAAAUCCAUUUCUGUUGUUUAAGCCACUCAGCCUGUGGCAUUUUGUUAUGGCAGCUCCAAUUGGAGAAGUGACGACGCUGAGUGGACAGAAGUAGAAUGAAAAACUCAACCUGUGAAGCACCCUGAUGUACCAAAUGACUUUUUUUUUUUCUUUUUGAGAUGGAGUCUUGCUCUGUUGCCCAGGCUGGAGUGAUCUUGGCUUACUGCAACCUCCGCCUCCCAGGUUCAAGUGAUUCUCAUGCCUCAGCCUCCCGAGUAGCUGGGAUUACAGGUGCGCGCCCCCACGCCCGGCUGAUGUUUGUAUUUUUAGUAGAGACGGGGUUUCAACAUGUUGGCCAGGCUGGUCUUGAGCUCCUGACUUCAGGUGAUCCACCUGCCUCGGCCUCCCAAAGUGCUGGGAUUAUAGGCAUGAGCCACUGCGCCUGGCCUGUACUAGAUGACUUUUAUGUGAGAUCUCAGUUAUGCAGUUGAAAGCGUUACACCAGAGAGCUGUGCCUGUUGUGCCAUUUGGAGAAGAAAGCUCGGCAAUGGUGCAGUGAGAGGGACACACGUUCCCCCUUUAGUCCUCCUCCUGGACUGAGCUGGAGAGAAACAGCACGAACAAUGAAGAGUGUAAAUUUGAAAAUAGUAGGAAACAACUCGCUUAUUUUAAUGUGUAUAUUUAAAGGCGUUAAUUCAAAACAUCCAGAAGAAAUUAAAAGCAUCCCCUUUUCAGUCAGCAAAUAUUAACAAAGCCCCCACUAUGUUUGAGUUGUGCUUAUGGAAUGAGGUCUUGAACAUGUGUGACCUUUUUUUUCUAGAAGAGCAAAGUUGACCUCUCCAGGUCAAAUGUUUAUUUUACUCAUUUAAAAUAAAAAAUUCAUUUAGAAAUAUAUUUCAUAUUUUCCAUGUUCCUUAAGUAGACUCUAUGGAAUAUAAUUAGAUCCUAGCUUAAUGAUUUACCACCCACAAUAGUACUGUCUGGCCAGUAUUUAUGCUUGGGUACAACAAUCCUCUUCCGUCUAAUGAGCAGUCUCUAACUAUACGGCACAUUUGCUGUCAUCUAAGAAAUCAGAUAACCCUGAUUACUAGAACUGUAUUUAAAGUAAGAGUCAACAUGACAUGAGUACGUGUCUUCGAAAAUAAUGUAAUUGAGUUUUAAUGAAUGAGUUUCACAACUGUUCUUUCAGCUACUGAAUGGCUCUGGGUCAAAGUUCUCAAAGACCCUGGUGAGGCUGAGAAGUCUAACCUUGAACUGUGUGAAGUAUUUCUGUACCUAAAAAUACCUAUUCAAAUAUAUUUGAAACAAGUUAUUAAAGAUAUUAAACAUA